UACGUAGGGUGCGAGCGUUGUCCGGAAUUAUUGGGCGUAAAGGGCUCGUAGGCGGUCUGUCGCGUCGGGAGUGAAAACUCAGGGCUUAACCCUGAGCCUGCUUCCGAUACGGGCAGACUAGAGGUAUGCAGGGGAGAACGGAAUUCCUGGUGUAGCGGUGGAAUGCGCAGAUAUUGGGAAGAACACCAGUGGCGAAGGCGGUUCUCUGGGACGGUACUGACGCUGAGACGCGAAAGCGUGGGGAGCGAACAGG
rnacentral:rRNA from 1 species